UACGUAGGGGGCAAGCGUUGUCCGGAUUCAUUGGGCGUAAAGCGCGCGUAGGUGGCCCUGUAAGUCCGUUGUGAAAGUCAAAGGCUCAACCUUUGAAAGCCGAUGGAUACUGCAGGACUAGAGUACGGAAGAGGCGAGUGGAAUUCCUGGUGUAGCGGUGGAAUGCGCAGAUAUCAGGAGGAACACCAAUAGCGAAGGCAGCUCGCUGGGACGUUACUGACACUGAGGCGCGAAAGCGUGGGGAGCGAACAGG
rnacentral:rRNA from 1 species